rnacentral:rRNA from 1 species
UACGUAGGGUGCGAGCGUUGUCCGGAAUUAUUGGGCGUGAAGAGCUCGUAGGCGGUUUGUCACGUCUGCUGUGAAAUCCCGAGGCUCAACCUCGGGCCUGCAGUGGGUACGGGCAGACUGGAGUGCGGUAGGGGAGAUUGGAAUUCCUGGUGUAGCGGUGAAAUGCGCAGAUAUCAGGAGGAACACCGAUGGCGAAGGCAGGUCUCUGGGCCACUACUGACGCUGAGAAGCGAAAGCAUGGGGAGCGAACAGG